AACGAACGCUGGCGGCAUGCCUAACACAUGCAAGUCGAACGAGAUCUUCGGGUCUAGUGGCGCACGGGUGCGUAACGCGUGGGAAUCUGCCCUUUGGUUCGGAAUAACAGUUGGAAACGACUGCUAAUACCGGAUGAUGACGAAAGUCCAAAGAUUUAUCGCCAGAGGAUGAGCCCGCGUAGGAUUAGCUAGUUGGUGUGGUAAAGGCGCACCAAGGCGACGAUCCUUAGCUGGUCUGAGAGGAUGAUCAGCCACACUGGGACUGAGACACGGCCCAGACUCCUACGGGAGGCAGCAGUGGGGAAUAUUGGACAAUGGGCGGAAGCAUGAUCCAGCAAUGCCGCGUGAGUGAUGAAGGCCUUAGGGUUGUAAAGCUCUUUUACCCGGGAUGAUAAUGACAGUACCGGGAGAAUAAGCUCCGGCUAACUCCGUGCCAGCCGCCGCGGUAA
rnacentral:rRNA from 1 species